rnacentral:rRNA from 1 species
GAUCAUGGCUCAGGACGAACGCUGGCGGCGCGCCUAACACAUGCAAGUCGAACGAGAGAUGAGGAGCUUGCUCUUCAAAUCGAGUGGCGAACGGGUGAGUAACGCGUGAGGAACCUGCCUCAAAGAGGGGGACAACAGUUGGAAACGACUGCUAAUACCGCAUAAGCCCACAGGUCGGCAUCGACCAGAGGGAAAAGGAGCAAUCCGCUUUGAGAUGGCCUCGCGUCCGAUUAG